rnacentral:lncRNA from 1 species
AGUGACUGGCCCAAGGUCACCCAGAUGGCUUUUAUGGCUAAGGCAGGAUUUCAACACACCAUCGCCUGGUGCCUUAACCACUACACCAAAAGGAAGCCAGCUCCUCAUUGAAUCAGUCCCAAAAAUCAACCUCCAGAAACAAAUAAGCAACAGUUUGUGCUUAAAAUCUCCUGAAACCAAGGGGAGGAGAGCUUAAGGGCCCAGUGACAAUAGCUCACAGAAAUGAGUUGUGUUCUGCUUUGAAGAACAUGGCUGGCUGCUAUCACCCAAUUAGCAGUUGCUGGCCAGUGACAUCUUGUCCAGUUUCUCUCUUCUACUGUGUUGGGGUGCUGGCUUGAAGCAAAAGAAACUCUAAAAGGGCAUCACACUGUCUGGUUUGGUGUACUCACAAAACUUUCCAGCAAGCUGAUAUCUGCUUUGGGAGCCACUUUGGUGAAGAACUGAGCAAUAAAUCUAAGGAAUAUAACAACAA